rnacentral:rRNA from 1 species
CCUACGGGAGGCUGCAGUGAGGAAUAUUGGUCAAUGGGCGGAAGCCUGAACCAGCCAAGUCGCGUGCGGGAAUAAGGCCCUACGGGUCGUAAACCUCUUUUGUCAGGGAGCAAUUGAGUCCACGUGUGGUCUUAGCGAGAGUACCUGAAGACACAGCAUCGGCUAACUCCGUGCCAGCAGCCGCGGUAAUACGGAGGCUGCGAGCGUUAUCCGGAUGUAUUGGGUUUAAAGGGUGCGUAGGCGGAAUAUCAAGUCAGCGGUAAAACUUCGGGGCUCAACCCCGUCGUGCCGUUGAAACUGAGGUUCUUGAGUGGGCGAGAAGUAUGCGGAAUGCGUGGUGUAGCGGUGAAAUGCAUAGAGAUCACGCAGAACUCCGAUUGCGAAGGCAGCAUACCGGCGCCCAACUGACGCUGAAGCACGAAAGCGUGGGUAUCGAACAGGAUUAGAUACCCCGGUAGUC